rnacentral:rRNA from 1 species
UACGUAGGGUGCAAGCGUUAAUCGAAAUUACUGGGCGUAAAGCGUGCGCAGGCGGUGAUGUAAGACAGGUGUGAAAUCCCCGGGCUUAACCUGGGAACUGCAUUUGUGACUGCAUCGCUGGAGUGCGGCAGAGGGGGAUGGAAUUCCGCGUGUAGCAGUGAAAUGCGUAGAUAUGCGGAGGAACACCGAUGGCGAAGGCAAUCCCCUGGGCCUGCACUGACGCUCAUGCACGAAAGCGUGGGGAGCAAACAGG